rnacentral:tRNA from 1 species
GUGCGUUACCUCAGUGGUUAGAGCUUAGGUCUCGUAACCAGAAGGUCCCGGGAUCGAACCCCAAAACA